rnacentral:lncRNA from 1 species
AGAGCUCCUCGCAGAGCGGCUGUGCCUGGCGUACCCCCAAUAGCCGCAGGCGGAAGCGACUGCGAAGGGCACGUUGGAGGUGUUCCAGGAAGGAUUCGCAUCUGGACGUUGGGAGAGAUAGGGUCGGAUGGGUCAGGACCCGAGGGAGUUCCUGGGCAAUGGGCAAAGUACGCGAGAAAACGGUGGAGGGUGCUGUACUCACUCAGGGCUCGGCACUCCACAGCGUUCUGGAUGGUUUCCAGGGCCCGAUGUCUCUGUUGUGUCCAUCUCUGAGGGACAACAAGGUCCUGGCAAAGGGGAACCCUGUGAGCUAGGGUCUUGGAUAUUCAGCACCGCGGACAGGAGCGCGCGAGACCAGCACCAAGGAGAGCUCCCGCGGUCGCCAUCGUGAGAUAGGUCGCCAGGGGCGGAGUCCGGGCCAUGGACGGAGAGAUGUGCCAGCAAGGGACUCAGCGAGACGGCGACACAAAUGUGCCGACAAACAUAUACAGAGACAGACAGAGAUAACCCAGGCAAAGGCGCGGACUUGAGGCGACAAGCUCCU